rnacentral:rRNA from 1 species
AGCGGCGGACGGGUGAGUAACGCGUGGGUAACCUGCCUCAUACAGGGGGAUAACAGUUGGAAACGGCUGCUAAUACCGCAUAAGCGGCACAGUACCGCAUGGUACCGUGUGAAAAACUCCGGUGGUAUGAGAUGGACCCGCGUCUGAUUAGCUAGUUGGUGGGGUAACGGCCUACCAAGGCGACGAUCAGUAGCCGACCUGAGAGGGUGACCGGCCACAUUGGGACUGAGACACGGCCCAA